UACGUAGGGUGCAAGCGUUAAUCGGAAUUACUGGGCGUAAAGGGCUCGUAGGCGGCCAACUAAGUCGGAUGUGAAAUCCCCAGGCUUAACCUGGGAACUGCAUCCGAUACUGGAUGGCUUGAAUCCGGGAGAGGGAUGCGGAAUUCCAGGUGUAGCGGUGAAAUGCGUAGAUAUCAAGCGGAACACCGGUGGCGAAGGCGGCCUUCUGGACAGUGACUGACGCUGAGACGCGAAAGCGUGGGGAGCAAACAGG
rnacentral:rRNA from 1 species